rnacentral:rRNA from 1 species
GAUGAACGCUGGCGGCGUGCCUAAUACAUGCAAGUCGAACGCGCAGCGAAAGGUGCUUGCACCUUUCAAGCGAGUGGCGAACGGGUGAGUAACACGUGGAUAACCUGCCUCAAGGCUGGGGAUAACAUUUGGAAACAGAUGCUAAUACCGAAUAAAACUUAGUAUCGCAUGAUACAAAGUUAAAAGGCGCUACGGCGUCACCUAGAGAUGGAUCCGCGGUGCAUUAGUUAGUUGGUGGGGUAAAGGCUUACCAAGACGAUGAUGCAUAGCCGAGUUGAGAGACGGAUCGGCCACAGUGGGAGUGAGACACGGGCCAAACUCCUACGGGAGGCUGCAGUAGGGAAUCUUCCACAAUGGGCGCAAGCCUGAUGGAGCAACGCCGCGUGUGUGAUGAAGGCUUUCGGGUCGUAAAGCACUGUUGUAUGGGAAGAAAUGCUAAAAUAGGGAAUGAUCUUAGUUUGACGGUACCAUACCAGAAAGGGACGGCUAAAUACGUGCCAGCAGCCGCCGCAG